rnacentral:ncRNA from 1 species
CUUAUCAAGAGUGACGGAGGGAACAGGCCCUGUGAUGUCCGGCAACCUGCCCAUGGCAAGGUGCUAAAUCCUGCGGUGUAUACCGGAAGAUGAGG